UAUGUAUAUAUAAUACUGUAUGUAUGUAUGUAUGUAAAGGUAUGUGCACCAUAAAUUAUAAUCCACACAUGACACACAAAGAAUAAAAUAACCGAAACUUUUAAGUGCAGAUCUAAGAUGUAGGGAGUUUCUUUUAUUCCUUAUUUUUGCAGCAAAACGCCACAAUUCACAAAAAAAGUUACUUUUUUUAAUCAUUUGCACAUAGAACAAGAGAGACUGGAGCAAGGUCAGAAAUUUGAUGUAACAGAAAUGCUGAAGCAACUUGUGCACUAACAACUUGCAACGUGUUCCGAACCAAACUGAGAAGAGCACCUUCUUGAGUUGGUGGUCCGGUGUGCAGCCUCCAUGUCUCGUACACUUCACGCCACUGAAAUCUGGUUAUGUACACUCACAGACUCCGGUGGAAUGAAGGAUAGAACACAUGGAAUGUUCCUCUUGAAAGGGAUGCGAAAAUAAAAUAGUUUUGUUGUCUUGUCUAAUUUAUACCCUCUUCUCCCAGAAAGGCCCAAAGGUUGAGGCGUGGCGACUACGAGGAGCGGCUUGACGAUGGUUCACCAAAUGAUGGGCGGUGAUGAUGGUAACAUCAAACAGAUUGUGCCUCUUUAGUGCUGACGCAUGGCUGCUGACACGGCAACAGAUGGCCUUCUGUAUACCCACCCUCCGUCACAUGGUGAUGUCUGAAGAUGUAAGGGCUGCACUUUAAGGGUGUUGUCGUGCCAAGCCGUCUGUGAAGAGCAGUGGCAAAAACGUGUUGAAAGUUGCAACCUGUCGAGACCUCAAACCUCAGCCGUGCCAGCUAUGCUGAGUCAAACAACAUCAUUUCAGAAACAGAAAGAUCAAGUCCGACUGACAACUUACAUGGGUCAGCGAGGAGAAAGAAUGGUGCUUCACUGGAGUCGACAGGUUGCCACGCGCCCUCGUGACGCCCUGAAAUAUGGCCGCCGGGCGUGGGGGAAUUAGCGGCAUCACGAGAGGCCGCUUUGAAAGCUUCAAACUUACUGUGAGACGGUCGCAUACGAGCGCUUUGAUCAGCCUCCGUUCUCGGACAUGGCUGCGGGGAGCCUGGACCCUCGACUCUAUUCCACCUGACUGCUGCUGGAUGAGCCCACUUCCUGGAAAUAAGCUCCGCCGCAAAUUAGCCUCACUCACACAUGCUUCACUGCAUUGCUCUGCCUCCUCGCACGCUUCAUCCGGCGAUGAACAUCAGAAAGAUGUGAAGAGGCUGGUGACUCUUGGACGGACAAGUUAGCCUUCAACAAUCAAAACAAGGUCUCCAACAGUCUUCUGUUGCUCAUCCAUCCACUUUCCACCCUUUCCUAAAAAAAAAAAAAAAAAAAAAAACCCAAAA